GUGAGGAAUAUUGGACAAUGGGCGCAAGCCUGAUCCAGCCAUGCCGCGUGCAGGAAGACGCAUCUAUAGUGUGUAAACUGCUUUUGUACGGGAAGAAACACUCCCUCGUGAGGGAGCUUGACGGUACCGUAAGAAUAAGGAUCGGCUAACUCCGUGCCAGCAGCCGCGGUAAUACGGAGGAUCCAAGCGUUAUCCGGAAUCAUUGGGUUUAAAGGGUCCGUAGGCGGUUUAAUAAGUCAGUGGUGAAAGCCCAUCGCUCAACGAUGGAACGGCCAUUGAUACUGUUAGACUUGAAUUACAAGGAAGUAACUAGAAUAUGUAGUGUAGCGGUGAAAUGCUUAGAUAUGAUGUAGAACACCGAUUGCGAAGGCAGCUCACUAAGCAAAUAUUGACGCUGAGGCACGAAAGCGUGGGGAUCAAACAGGAUUAGAAACCCUGGUCC
rnacentral:rRNA from 1 species